rnacentral:rRNA from 1 species
UACGUAGGUGGCAAGCGUUGUCCGGAAUUACUGGGUGUAAAGGGCGUGUAGGCGGGAAGACAAGUCGGAAGUGAAAUCCCAUGGCUUAACUGUGGAGCUGCUUCUGAAACUGUUUUUCUUGAGUGUCGGAGAGGAAAGUGGAAUUCCCAGUGUAGCGGUGAAAUGCGUAGAGAUUGGGAGGAACACCAGUGGCGAAGGCGGCUUUCUGGACGAUAACUGACGCUGAGGCGCGAAAGCGUGGGGAGCAAACAGG